GGCACUUCACUUCAGUCCACAAACUUGGAAGUUACAAGAAAAAAAUGAAGAAGAAGGUAGAAUCAACCAGUAGUAGUGAACAAUCAGCAGUGUUACGCAGCAGAGAACAAACAACAGCAGUAGAACCUCGACAACCAGUCAGCAAAUCGACAAACAAACCAGUAGACUGAUACUUUUGAAAUCAAACAAGGAAUAACGCGAUCAGGAAUUAGCUAGGCAGAAUCAAACCAUUUUGAAUCUAUAAAUGUUUGAAAGAUGAAAACUCGAUAAAUCUAAUGUAACAAUACUUUUUUUUGUAGAAGUUUUGCUAUAUUUUUGUUUUUUCAGAAUUUUCUAAGAUCUAGAUGAACUUUCUAAUUCUCAGAUUUCAAACUCUGUUUUUGAAUUUGAAAUUCAAAAUUUUUCAGAUCUCCAAAACUUGUUAGGCAAGACAGUAGAGACUGUCUUUUAUAGACAAAAUGCUAGGGGCUCUUUCAUAUUUUAUAUUACACUUUUAGUCCCUCUUUUAUUUCAGAUUUUGCUUCAAAAGUCCUUAAAGAACUGACUUGCUUCCCAAGUCUUAACGCUAAGUUACUUAAAUUCUUUUUUGAACCCCAUCUAGAAGGCUCUAGGGAUUUCUAAUUCAGUUACUACAAGAUUCCUUCUCUUUGAAAUACUUAUACUAAUCUUGAUUCAAUCAUAAAUUACUACCUUGUAUUGACUAAAUCCCAGCCCCUUUUUACCCUAGUUAAAAGUGAUUGUGGUUAAUCGAACAAGGAACUAAAAUGAUUAGCUAAUCAACAAUAUCCAAAACUCUAAGUUGAAACUAAACCUAUUUUAAUCCUAGAUUAAUACUUGACAGUUUGAAUCAACAAACAAUAGGCUAUUUUGUCGAUCAAACAUGAAUUUAGGAAAACAGAAAUUAAUCAAAUACACCAAGUCAUAAACUAACAUCAAUAAGAGCAUAGAAGAAAUCAAAAACUAACUGCAAAAAUCUAGAGCACUGUUUCUGCCAGAAAAAAGUAAAGUAAAGCAUAAAGAAAAACAUGAAUGAAUUAACAGAAACAUGUUUAAACAAAUUCUAAUAGCAAAGAAAUAAAAGAAACUAACAUAUGCAAGGAUUGAACAGGACUGGGCUUCAAUUCGAGUCCCAGAAUGAUGCUAAACGCUUGUUCUUUGCCAAGAACAAACAAAAACAUUAUUUUGUAACUCAAAUUAGUUUUUCGAUUCAAGAAAUUGGGAAGAAAUCAACAAACUCGAAUUUCUAGGGUUUUGCCAAUUCUAAGAUUUAAAAAUCGAGAACCUUGGGCGAGAUUCGAAGGCUACUGAUGAUGGAUUCGGAACGAGGGAAGUGAUGAGGUUACGUGUGUUAAUUUGGUGAGAUUUAGAGGAUUUAGUGUUUUGGCCGGAAUUUCGAUUUGAUAUUCGAGAAGAUUGGCUAGGAUUUGAGGGAAAGGGGUUGUGGAUUCGGAAAGAGGAGAGGAAGGUGGUUCAGGGGUGUUAAUUUGGUGUUCGUUGGAGGUUUAUCGCCACCGUGGGACGAUCUCCAGCAGCGGUCUAGGGCGGAGCCGGUGGGGACGUCUCUGGUGAGAGUAGGUGAGAGAGACGACUUGGGGUAGGGGGGGGUAGGCUAUUCGGCACUUAAAUAUUAAUGAUGCUCGGUUCCUGACCGUGGGAUCAAAGAUCCUCGACGGCCAGGAUCAAAACUUGUUAAAACGGGGGCGUUUUGGGAGAAGGGGAAAGCUGGACCGGGUGGUAAAUGGGUUUUGGAUCGAAAUGGGGCGGAUUUUGAGGAAUUUGAUCUGGGCCGGAAUAGCAAUGGCCCAAACGAACAACCAGCCUAUUAAUUCUUUUAAAUCCUUUCUUUUCAAUUUCUUUAUUUGUUUUCCUUUUUUUCUUUCUAUUCUUAUUCAAUUUGUAUUUUAGAUUUUUUUUGAAUACAAAAUUAAAAUAGACAAGACCUGAUUUAACUCUAAAAUUGAACUAAUUAAAUUUCAAAAAUUAAACAAAUCCUAGUUUAAAAAAGAAAACUUAAGGAACAAUAAAAAAUUAAUAGUAAAACAAUGCAAAAGGACUAUUUUUAUUAUUUUCUCUUAUUUUGGUAAUGUUAAAAAAAUGUUAAAAUAAGGUCCUAAAUGCGAGUAUGCUAUUUUGUAUUUUUUUUGAAUUAUAUUAAUUUAUAAUACUUACAAAAUGCAAACAAACACCAAAUUAAUUUCCUAAAAUUCAAAUAAUAAAAGAAUACUAAUUUAUAAAUUUUGAUGUCAAGCGAUGUAAAAAAUCACAUGCUUACGAUGCUGAGGAGGCACUCCAUUUAACACUUUAACUCAACAUCACUGAUUUCUUUUUUGUAAUAGCAGCUCACGCGCAAAAUUCAACACAAUAUCCUAGAAGCUGAAUUAACAUAUUAUCAUAUACUUAAAUAUUAGCUGAUAGAGACUAUAAUUUGGAAACACAAACGAGCCAGUAGAAAUGAACUCACUUACCACACAAAGCAAUAUUUCAGUUGCCAUUUUUCUACGUAGAAGACGUGAGUGAAUACGAAAGUAAGUAAAAAUAUUAC
rnacentral:lncRNA from 1 species